rnacentral:rRNA from 1 species
CCAGACUCCUACGGGAGGCAGCAGUGGGGAAUAUUGCACAAUGGGCGCAAGCCUGAUGCAGCCAUGCCGCGUGUGUGAAGAAGGCCUUCGGGUUGUAAAGCACUUUCAGUAGGGAGGAAGGUGGUAGUGUUAAUAGCGCUAUCAUUUGACGUUACCUACAGAAGAAGCACCGGCUAACUCCGUGCCAGCAGCCGCGGUAAUACGGAGGGUGCGAGCGUUAAUCGGAAUUACUGGGCGUAAAGCGCAUGCAGGUGGUUUGUUAAGUCAGAUGUGAAAGCCCCGGGCUCAACCUGGGAAUUGCAUUUGAAACUGGCAAACUAGAGUACUGUAGAGGGGGGUAGAAUUUCAGGUGUAGCGGUGAAAUGCGUAGAGAUCUGAAGGAAUACCGGUGGCGAAGGCGGCCCCCUGGACAGAUACUGACACUCAGAUGCGAAAGCGUGGGGAGCAAACAGGAUUAGAUACCCUGGUAGUCCACGCCGUAAACGAUGUCUACUUGGAGGUUGUGGCCUUGAGCCGUGGCUUUCGGAGCUAACGCGUUAAGUAGACCGCCUGGGGAGUACGGUCGCAAGAUUAAAACUCAAAUGAAUUGACGGGGGCCCGCACAAGCGGUGGAGCAUGUGGUUUAAUUCGAUGCAACGCGAAGAACCUUACCUACUCUUGACAUCCAGAGAAGCCAGCGGAGACGCAGGUGUGCCUUCGGGAGCUCUGAGACAGGUGCU